rnacentral:rRNA from 1 species
AGUGAACGCUGGCGGCAGGCCUAACACAUGCAAGUCGAACGGCAGCACAGCAGUAGCAAUACUGUGGGUGGCGAGUGGCGGACGGGUGAGGAAUGCAUCGGAAUCUGCCCAGUCGUGGGGGAUAACGUAGGGAAACUUACGCUAAUACCGCAUACGACCGAGAGGUGAAAGCGGGGGAUCGCAAGACCCCGCGCGAUUGGAUGAGCCGAUGCCGGAUGAGCUAGUUGGCGGGGGAAAAGCCCACCAAGGCGACGAUCCGUAGCUGGUCUGAGAGGAUGAUCAGCCACACUGGAACUGAGACACGGUCCAGACUCCUACGGGAGGCAGCAGUGGGGAAUAUUGGACAAUGGGCGCAAGCCUGAUCCAGCCAUGCCGCGUGGGUGAAGAAGGCCUUCGGGUUGUAAAGCCCUUUUGUCCGGAAAGAAAAGCUUCGGGUUAAUAACCCGGGGUCAUGACGGUACCGGAAGAAUAAGCACCGGCUAACUUCGUGCCAGCAGCCGCCGCAGUAA